CCUACGGGUGGCAGCAGUGGGGAAUAUUGCACAAUGGGGGAAACCCUGAUGCAGCGACGCCGCGUGAGUGAGGAAGUAUUUCGGUAUGUAAAGCUCUAUCAGCAGGGAAGAAAAUGACGGUACCUGACUAAGAAGCCCCGGCUAACUACGUGCCAGCAGCCGCGGUAAUACGUAGGGGGCAAGCGUUAUCCGGAUUUACUGGGUUGAAAGGGAGCGUAGACGGCUAAUCAAGUCAGAAGUGAAAACCAAGGGCUCAACCUUGGGACUGCGUUUGAAACUGAGUAGCUGGAGUGCAGGAGAGGUAAGCGGAAUUCCUAGUGUAGCGGUGAAAUGCGUAGAUAUUAGGAGGAACACCAGUGGCGAAGGCGGCUUACUGGACUGUAACUGACGUUGAGGCUCGAAAGCGUGGGGAGCAAACAGGAUUAGAUACCCCUGUAGUC
rnacentral:rRNA from 1 species